rnacentral:piRNA from 1 species
UCCUAGUGUAUUCUUGAAUUUGGUUUCCAUU